GACGAACGCUGGCGGCGUGCUUAACACAUGCAAGUCGAACGGACAGGCCCUGCUUUUGCGGGGUGCUCGAGUGGCGCACGGGUGAGUAACACGUGAGUAACCUGUCCUUGACUUUGGGAUAUCUUCAGGAAACUGGGGCUCUUACCGGAUAGGAGCUCUUGCUGCAUGGUGGGGGUUGGUAAGUUUGGGCGGUUCGGGAUGGACUCGAGGGUCAUCAGCUUGUUGGUGGGGUAGUGGCUGACCAAGGCUGUGAAGGGUAGCCGGCCUGAGAGGGUGACCGGCCACAUUGGGACUGAGGUACGGCCCAGACUCCUACGUGACGCAGCAGUGGGGAAUAUUGCACAAUGGGCGGAAGCCUGAGGCAGCAACGCCGCGUGCGGGAUGACGUCCUUCGGGUGGUAAACCGCUUUCGCCUGUGACGAAGCGUGAGUGACGGUAAUGGGUAAAGAAGCACCGGCUAACUACGUG
rnacentral:rRNA from 1 species